UUGGCCCCGCCCCUCUCUAUUUCCAGAUGCGUGCUCGUUCACGUUGUUCCGCAAGGCACGUUCAAGUGGACGUCCUGGCUGCGUCACUUGCGCGCCGCCACGCUCCCUUCCGAUGCACUUCUUUCCCCAAAAGCCUAAAGAUAGAUGUUUCGUUUUCAGUCCCUGGAUGAAGACUGUACGUUGGAGGAGGAAGAUGAAGGGAUGAUAGAAGAG